UGUGCUGUGGAAUAGGAAUGAUGUAAAUGAAAUGGAUGUUUUCCUUUGACUUGAAGAAAAUACGUCAGCGUCAAGCUCCAUGGAAACAGAGAUGACAUCUGGCUCGUAGUAAGACCUGGGACAGAAAAACAGACUUUCCUGGUUUCCAAAUUCUUCAAGAAUAUGAGUUGGAGAAAUGCAAGCCAGUCAAUGUUUAUAAAGAUGAAGAUAGAAGAUUUGACAUCUCCAAAGAGGGCUUUGGAAAGAUUAAUUACAUAAAGAGUGCUUCCUUCCCGACUUAUGAAGAUCACAAUAUGAAGUGAUAACUCGUAGGAAUAUACAACCUAUCUGAACACCCUCAUGGAUUCC
rnacentral:lncRNA from 1 species